rnacentral:rRNA from 1 species
AUUGAACGCUGGCGGCAUGCCUUACACAUGCAAGUCGAACGGUAACAGGCCGCAAGGUGCUGACGAGUGGCGAACGGGUGAGUAAUGCAUCGGAACGUGCCCAGUCGUGGGGGAUAACUGCUCGAAAGAGCAGCUAAUACCGCAUACGACCUGAGGGUGAAAGCGGGGGGCCGGAAGGCCUCGCGCGAUUGGAGCGGCCGAUGUCAGAGUAGCUAGUUGGUGGGGUAAAGGCCUACCAAGGCAACGAUCUGUAGUUGGUCGGAGAGGACGACCAGCCACACUGGGACUGAGACACGGCCCAGACUCCUACGGGAGGCAGCAGUGGGGAAUUUUGGACAAUGGGCGCAAGCCUGAUCCAGCAAUGCCGCGUGCAGGAAGAAGGCCUUCGGGUUGUAAACUGCUUUUGUCAGGGAAGAAAUCUUCUGGGCUAAUACCCCGGGAGGAUGACGGUACCUGAAGAAUAAGCACCGGCUAACUACGUGCCAGCCGCCGCCGUAAAAC